rnacentral:rRNA from 1 species
CCUACGGGAGGCAGCAGUGGGGAAUAUUGCACAAUGGGGGAAACCCUGAUGCAGCGACGCCGCGUGAGUGAGGAAGGAUUUCGGUAUGUAAAGCUCUAUCAGCAGGGAAGAAAAUGACGGUACCUGACCAAGAAGCCCCGGCUAACUACGUGCCAGCAGCCGCGGUAAUACGUAGGGGGCAAGCGUUAUCCGGAUUUACUGGGUUUAAAGGGAGCGUAGGCGGCUGGGUAAGCCAGAAGGGAAAGCCCGAGGCUCAACCACGGGACUGCUUUUGGAACUACAUGGCUUGAUUGCAGGAGAGGCCAGUGGUCUUCCUCGUGUAGCGGUGACAUGCGUAGCUAUUCGGCGGAACACCAGUGGCGAAGGCGGCUUGCUGGACUGUACAUGCCGCUGAGGCUCGACAGCGUGGGGAGCACACAGGAUUCGCUACCCUUGUAGUC